AUGGUUAGCAGAGUGUCGUUGUCCUCCAGUAGGGGUUUCUCUCUGAGGAAGACUGACGACGACCCCCGACCUUCCAUGCCGCCCCAGAACCACCACAGCACUCAGCAGCCUCAGUCCACCUCAUCCGCCUGUCGGCCUUCCGUAUCUGCGGUGAAAAGUGGCAGGGAUACAGCACUAUUUGUCAGAUCAGGAGACAUCCUGAAAAUCGAUUUUUGUCACAAACGUCUGGUUUGGCCUACUAACUAA
rnacentral:lncRNA from 13 species